UGAAGGGAUGUUGGUGUUAGAAGCUCCACCCUUUGUUUUAGGGUUGUGCACUUGAUUGAGUUCGGAGUGCUAAGUGCUGAAGCCUAGGCCUAGCUUGACUAAUACUUGGGCUAGCACUUGUUUAAAGAUACUAAGCCAGCCUCAUUAACUGGUCCAGUUAUUGUUUUGGACCGUGGCUCAUUAAUGUUCUGCACAAUUCUGUCUGGUCGAUGUAGAAUGGAAGGGCCGUCAAAAACUUAAAUCAAAUAAAAAAAAUAAAAUGUUAAGAUUCAUGCUCUUCCAGUUGCGCCUUUAAAGGGCCGCAAAUGAAGACAAAAACGUAGGCUUCAAUUCACUAUCACAUGCUCUUUUGCUAAUCAACUGGCCCGUCCAACUACGAUAUUUUUAGAGUAGGGUCUUAUAUUGUCAGAUAAUUAAAAUUCAAUGUUGAUCAUUUUGAGGACGUAGGAUUAGAGCUGGCAAAAUUUGACACGAUCCGAUUACCCGACACGAACACGACAUAAAUAAAUGGGUAUGGGUCGUCAAAUUUAACACGAUUAUUAAAUGGGUCGGGUCCGGGUCAACACGAUUUUUUUCCGUGUCGGGUUUGGGUUAAAAUUCUUGACCCAUUUACCCGAUCAAUGACCCGAUUAUAUUUUCUAUUUUAAAAUAAUUUACAUAUUCUUAUAAUUAAAACUCAAAUAUUAGAGAUGAUUUUCUUUUUUUUAUUCUUUAAAAGGGUGAAUAUAAACACAAUGUUUUAUUUAUAAAAUUUUACAUACAUUUAGAGUUUCAAUAGUGUAAAUGUGUAAAAAUUGAUAGACAUGUAUAUUUUAUAAUAUUGAUAUAUAAUAUUAUAUAUAUAUAUAUAUAUAUAAAAUUAAAACCUCAAUAGUGUACAUGUGUAAUAUAUUGGUAGAUAUGUAUAUUUUAUAAUAUCGAUAAAUUAUGUAUGUAUGUAUGUAUUUAUGUAUUUAUGCACACACGUAUGUAUGAUAGUGUGUAAAUAUUUGAUAUAACUUUUGUUCAAUAUAUAGAUAUUAAACGGGUUAUUGGGUAACCCGAUUAUUUUUCCGUGUCGGGUUUGGGUCUCAAUAUUUUGACACGAUUAUUAAAUGGGUCGGGUUUGGGUCGACCUAAAUUUGACACGACACGAAGCUGACACGACACGAACACGACCCGAUGACCCAUUUUGCCAGCUCUACGUAGGAUGGAGCCUUCCGAGCGUAAUCAGAGCCAUUGGUUGGUGGCAUCAUUCUCAUACAAGAUCAACUGAUAUAAUCAUAAGUAAAUAAAAAUAUUGACUCUCUCUUUAUUUUUUUCCCCCCUAAAAUCUAUCUUAGGCAAAUAUCCUAACACUUAAUUUGACUUUAUUCAUUGAUACCCAUUAAUUCAGAUGAUUAAGCGUUAAAAUCUAAUUUUUAGUGUUUGGUGAAU
rnacentral:lncRNA from 1 species